AUGGUUAUGAAUUUUGCUCCUGAAUCCUCCCAUCUAUUAUGCUCCUUGGAAGCUCAUGACAGAUCUCACACUUUUUUUGUACCUAACAUUAAGAUCACACCAGAACCAGACCUAGUCAGAACAACAACAGCCAGAAUAUGCCGAAGUGCUAGCAGACUGGCCGAAACUCCCGAAGAAUGGGAUUCAGAAAUUCUGAAGCCCCCCAAUGCCACUCCUCCGCCUGCCAGUAACUAA